rnacentral:rRNA from 1 species
CCUACGGGAGGCAGCAGUGGGGAAUAUUGGGCAAUGGAGGCAACUCUUACCCAGCAAUGCCGCGUGAAUGAAGAAGGUCUUCGGAUUGUAAAGUUCUUUAUUUCGGGACGCAAAAAAUUACGGUACCCAAGGAAUCAGCCCUGGCUGACUAAGUGACAGCAGCCGCGGUAAUACGUAGGGGGCAAGCGUUAUCCGGAUUUAAGGGGUGUACAGGGGGGGCAGGCGGCGAUGCAAGCCAGGAGUGAAAGCCCGGGGGCCAACCCCGGGACUGCUCUUGAAACUGCGUGGCUGGAGUGCAGGAGGGGCAGGCGGAAUUCCUGGUGUAGCGGUGAAAUGCUUAGAUAUCACGAAGAACCCCGAGUGCGAAGGCAGCUUACGAACCUGUGACUGACAUUGAUGCUCGAAAGUGUGGGUAUCAAACAGGAGUAGAUACCCGAGUAGUC